GAUGAAGAACGUAGCGAAAUGCGAUAAGUAAUGUGAAUUGCAGAAUUCAGUGAAUCAUCGAAUCUUUGAACGCACAUUGCGCCCCCUGGUAUUCCGGGGGGCAUGCCUGUCCGAGCGUCAUUACAACCCUCAAGCUCAGCUUGGUGUUGGGCCCCGCCGCCCCGGCGGGCCCUAAAGUCAGUGGCGGUGCCGUCCGGCUCCGAGCGUAGUAAUUCUUCUCGCUCUGGAGGCCCGGCCGCGUGCCCGCCAGCAACCCCCAAUUUUUUUCAGGUUGACCUCGGAUCAGGUAGGGAUACCCGCUGAACUUAAGCAUAUCAAUAAGCGGAGGA
rnacentral:misc_RNA from 1 species